rnacentral:rRNA from 1 species
AUUGAACGCUGGCGGCAGGCCUAACACAUGCAAGUCGAACGGUAACAGGAAGAAGCUUGCUUCUUUGCUGACGAGUGGCGGACGGGUGAGUAAUGUCUGGGAAACUGCCUGAUGGAGGGGGAUAACUACUGGAAACGGUAGCUAAUACCGCAUAACGUCGCAAGACCAAAAAGGGGGACCUUCGGGCCUCUUGCCAUCGGAUGUGCCCAGAUGGGAUUAGCUAGUAGGUGGGGUAACGGCUCACCUAGGCGACGAUCCCUAGCUGGUCUGAGAGGAUGACCAGCCACACUGGAACUGAGACACGGUCCAGACUCCUACGGGAGGCAGCAGUGGGGAAUAUUGCACAAUGGGCGCAAGCCUGAUGCAGCCAUGCCGCGUGUAUGAAGAAGGCCUUCGGGUUGUAAAGCACUUUCAGCGGGGAGGAAGGGAGUAAAGUUAAUACCUUUGCUCAUUGACGUUACCCGCAGAAGAAGCACCGGCUAACUCCGUG